ensembl:lncRNA
GGCUUGUGUUCUUGUUUAAUAUCAACUCAGCAUUGAGGCCAUACAGUAGUUCAUAAAGACUUUUCAGUCAUAAAAUGUUCUUUAAAAAAAGUGAAUGCUAUUUCCUCUUUACCUUGAUGGCUUUCCAUUUCUUCUGCUGCAGCAGAGAUCAAGUCUUCCUGUUUACUUAGAUUUUCUUCUAGCACUGCAGCCUGGGUUAGAAGUGAUGGGCAUGGGCCUGGAAAUAAUGUAUUUCACUGAAUUGCAGAUGUAAAGAGAAUCUCAAUAGUAUUUAAGUAAAUUGUCAUCUGUAUGACUCAGUCAGAUCUUCUAAGAACCAGAAGCUUGUGUACAUGCUAAUUUAUUGGAUCACCAUUUCCCCAUCUGCCAUUUCAGGUUGAAUCUGCCAUUGGUAUACACUUUUUUUUUUUUUUCCCCAAAUAGCAGUGGUUGAAAAGAAAAACAAAACAAUUAAAAUUGGGGGUGAGGAAGACUGAGUUACAAUCUUUGCUGUUGAUCCUUUAUUUGAUUUGAGACAACAUUGUCCCCAUUAUUCUAAAGCAAAAUAGAAGGAGAAUAAAUCUGUGACAUCAUAGCACUUCUAGAUAAAAGCUCUUUUGUCAUCAUCUUGUAAAUGCACUUAAAAUGCUGAAGUAAUGGUCUCUGAACAGUGACACUGGCACAGCCUUACUGUGUGAUGCUAUAGUAUUAAUUUUUAAUUAGGGGACUUUAAGUUAUAUAUACAAAUAUAUAUAUACAUAUAUAUUUGUGUAUCAUCCUAAUGUUUUUUACUGUAAACAUUGCUCACUGAUCAGGAAUAGAUCUAGAGUCCUAUAGUAAGUACUACUGAAAAAGAAGGAGCAAGAAAAUUCUACUUGUUUUGGAAAAGUCUGUCAGCAUUCUAACAAAAUAGGGCAAAACAUUAUCCCUUACAACUUAAUCUGAAUUUUAUUUGGAGCAUGGCUUAUCUUAUGAAAGAUAACCAAUGCUCUAAAAUGUGGGACUGAUUCUCAGCUGCUCUUAGUCAACAUUCAUCUACUGCUUUGUGGAUGGCCUGGUAUCCUUAAAGAUGCCAAGUCUAUGUCUUAGACUUUAGAUUUUAUGAAAAGGUGUGUGGCUGCUUAAUAGUUGAGCACACUCAACACAUGCAAGAAAAGAGUUCUUUCUGUCUCUGUCUGUAAGUCUGGUCUGUUUAUGCCCUAUUCUGGCUCAACCUGUCUCCGGUGAUGCCAUGUUACAAGCUCCAAAGGAAAGUUUUUUUUCUGUAAACAACUCUUCACAGCUAAAUCAGGAAACAGUGGACAGCAACACAUUAUCUUCCUCACCUGUAUAAGUCCUCACUUCAGUCAGCUCCAUCCUCCCCUCUCUUACUAAUUUCUAAUCUGUUCUAGUAUUUUUGAUCUCUGUGUCUCUUCACAUGGAAUCUUUUGCAGCUCCUCUAAUUUUUAGCAUCUCUUCAUGGAGUCAGUCCUCUUCAACAUCAUUUGCUCUGAGACAAUCACCCAGGAUACGCCACAGGUGUUUAAAGCUUGACUUCCAAGCUUUACUUCUCUCCCAACAGUGUGUCCUUACAGUAUGUCUUUGCUUUUUAGCCAUCCCAUGAGUAGGCCCGUGGUCAUCUCUGGGAUAUUUUUCCUUUGUGAUUACAGCUCAUCUCAAAGGAACAUGUGUUACAGCCAAGCAAAGCCAUGCAGCCUUGCUGCUGGCACACACGUCCUCCUUUCCCCAGUGCUCCAGCUGGGGAUGUGGUCAGGCUGCCGGUGCAUGAGAUCACAUCCAGCAGGGCUACUCCCUGGAAGCCAAAGUGUUGCUUAGUAACCCACUCAUGGAAGUACCAGAAGCAUUUUUCAAUCUGUCACAUUGGCAAAGAACACUGGCUUCUUGAUUUAGAGGCAUUCUGCUGUGCGUGGCAGGGCCAUGCUCCAUUAUCUUGCAUCCAGCGCUAUCUGCAAGCAAGGAGAUGAACCUCCCAUUUAAUGGAGGGGCUGGGAGAAGGUGGGGGUGUGAGGCACAGAAAAUAUUUUCCUAGGAACAUGAAGCUUUUAGCUGGUUCUCCUGGCAUCUAGUCCUCAACUUAACUCAUUUCCCAUGGGAGAUAUUCUCUGCUUAUGAAAUGCACUCCAGGGUCCUAUAGCAAUUGGCCAAACAGGACCCUGCAGCACCUUCAUCUAUUAUGAGACAUUACUGCAAUAAAACUUGGUGUGUCAUACAGAAACCGGAUGAGGUAUUGCAAUAUUUAUGCUGUAAGCCUCAGUGUCAUGGACAAUUGCUACAGAAUAAUGUAUGUUUUUUCUUAAUGCAGUGGAGUCACAGCAGCUUCAGCAGAGCACACUGAACACAGAUAGUCUGUGAUUGCAUGGUUUCCUCAGAUAUUUUCAAAUUAUUCUGUUACAGACGCUUAAAUGGAAAAUAUCCUUUCAUUAAAAAUAGAUGGUAAAAGCUCUUAGGUUACUCCCCCUUUUAGGAAUAAUUCAGUCUGAAAGUAAAACAUCCAAAAACCGGGUUCUGACUUGAGGGGCUUACUUCUUUAUCUGACACCGGUGUAUCAUUAAAAAUGGCUUCAAAAAGUAACUUGAGGGCUUUUAUUUGAGGUACCUUGUUGAUUUUGCUAUCACAUCUCUUCAUUUUGGAAAUGAAAAGAUAUUUUAAACAAUGUCUAGCUUUGAGCUCUGGGGACCAGCUGGACUCUUCCCAUCCUACUUCUUAUUGUAGAACAGUAGAACCAUAGAGUGUGUCCAGCCAUGGCAUCACCCAUUUCUGUGGGCUUGCCUCCUGUUGACAGAUUGUGUCCUGGAAGCCCUCUGCAAAAAACUGAAGGGCUUUUAUAUGGGUUGUUGAAGAUCCAGGGUGGUCUGAAGAUGUGGUUGUUAGACAAAUGUACCCAAGGUCUCUUUUGGUCUUUGGAGUGUCAUUUUACUGGGAUGGUGCUCAGUGCUGCAGUGAUGAAAUCAGCAAGUUGCAUCACAUAUUUUGUGUAAGGCCUUGUCAGUGCAAGGCCAGUGACAUGCACAAUACUCACGUGCUAAAGCUUGGCUUUGCAUAAAGAUGAAAAAACAUCCCACAGUUUUGGAAGCUCCUGACUUAAUUUCUGAAAACUUUUUGAGGAGAUGAGUACCUUCCUGUGCUCUUUCCCAGUCUAAUAAAUAAAUUUGGCUAUGGGAUAAAGAGUCCUUCAAAUUUAUUGUAUGUAGUUGUAUUUUUAUUGCACAUAGUUUAAGAAAUACAGAAAGUAGCCCAAAAAUGCUCUUGAUGACUGGCCAGCAUAAAAGCAUUUGAUGAUCUGCUGUGGAUCCCAGAGCAGAAUUUUCUACAUCACAGAAAUAUUCUGAAUGAACUGUUUUCUACAGGGGGCAGGGAGCAUUCUUGGUAGGGAAGCAAAGACUGUGAAGAUUCUAACUUUUAGAACUGGCUGUGCCAGCUCAGAACUGAUGGAAAGCUUGCCAUUGUGAUGCUUUGCUCUGUGGAAAAGGAUUCAGAGAAGCACUAAGUGUACAAUGCAUUAUUGUUUUAAAAGAAUCAGGGUAUCUGUUUCCAGUCUUCUAAUACAUUAACCUUGAAGUUUGUUCAUAAUUAAAUAGUCUAGCCCUACCAGUUAGGCAUCGAAGCAAGAGACUUGUUGUGAAGACAGUGGGCUAGGGAAGAGCAGGUGUACUGGAUAACCUUUGGGCAAUACUGAGAAAGCACAUCCACUCCCUGCACUCACAGGGGAGGACACCUCUUUCUUUGCACUUACUGCACAUUCUGCAUCUUAAAAUUGUUCGAAGUAAGAACCAUUUUAGAGCAACUGAGUUAGCUACAAAGCAGAAGAUGUUCCACUGGCAUUAAUUCUUGUUGUUUAGGUUUGGGGGUUUCUAUCUGCUCAUAUACUCACAGCCUUCUUUUCAACAUUUGAGGAUGCUAUAGAUUACUUCUAUCUCACCUAAUUGGGAUCUACCUGCCCUUAUGGUAACAACAAAUUGUGGGUUGGAAGCUGCCCCACUUCCUGGCUGUACAUACCACCAUCUAUACAACAUGUAGUGUAUGUUGAGUGAUUGCAUUGUAGUGGCUUUUGUAAUGCAAUAACUGUGGUGUCAAGAAAAUGUGGUUGGAGAAAACUUUGCUUACAAAUUAACAUGAAUAGAAAAUCAAAGUCAUUGAAAAGACAGUACAGAUGAAGAAUUCUUACUGUGAGCCACCACCGUGUGUCCCACAAUAUGCCAGCUUCUGUAUCUUCUAAAUAGUCUUUUAUCCUCUUUGCAGCAGAAGUGAAAUUUAAUUUUGUGUCUGUACUCUGAACUGGAGACAUUGGUACUCAGUCUUUUCAUAAUGUGCUGAUGAAUUGAAACACUCACCUUGUCAUGCCAGCUUCCAUAGCUUCCCACCAAAAUAAUGCAAUGCCAGUUGGUGAAUAGCCUGGAGGAGUUUUGGGUGCUGACUGAAGCAUGCCAUUGAAAUUUUGGUCUGCAGGAACACAAGGUUUUGUAUUGAUGUUUGUAAAAAAACCCAGCAGUCUCAGAUGAACCCAAAUGUUCUAUUAGUCACAUGGCAGGUACAGAGAAAAGUCAAAACAACUGAGUGAGGGGAAAAAAAUAAGGGGUUCUGCCUGAAGAAAACCCUAUAUACCACUCUCAUUUCAGAGGAAAAAUCCUUCUGUGACCAGUCCAGGGUGACAAGUAGUUAGGCUCAAAGUCUGGAAAGACCCAUUUCUGUAGUGUGUUUGUCACUGUGUCUUUGGUUAUGCACACGUACCAGAAUAGGAGAAAAUGCCUGUCUUUCUUUCAAAUUCCUUUUCAGCUUUGUACACUGCCUCCAGGUUGCCUGUUGCUGCACCCCAUGAGGCCUCAUUGGAGUGUGCACUACCUUGCUUGGUAUUUGUUUACUUUUGGCGGCCACAGACUAAGGUUACAGGUUUGGGAACCAGUACAUAAUUGUAAGGACAGCUUCGUGUGUUAGUUUUCCCCCCCCCCCCUCAUCUUUUGUAAAGUGUGAACCUUUCUUUGGAAUUCUGAAGUGACUGUAUCGUUGCAAUGUUUGUAUGUAGAGAUUUGUUUUAACAUGGCUUGUGUGAAGGAUCUUUGCUCUUCUUAUCUCACAUUCAAUUUUAUUAAGUGCUUGAUAGCUUUGCCAGCCUUCUGUGGGGGAGGAGAGGUGAUGGGGUGGCUUCAAAACUUGGCUUUUUUUUAAGGGAAAUUUGCCCAGCUUUGCCUAGAGCAGCAUGAGAAUCUGGGGUGCUCCUGACUGUUCUUCAGUCAUCCUGAUCUGAUUGCUUCUUGGAAAAAGAGAUCAGCCUUGAAACUCUCAGAAAAAAACAAAUUGUUGAAUGCACUAGGCCAGCACUGACCAAGAAGGCCCAUCAGUUUGUCAUGCAUGGAAACCUGCAUGGUGUUUCACCCCGCCAGAAGGUGUCUGUUGAGCACAGAGUGAAUCAUGGAAACUCACACUGCUCUGCGGAUGCCAACGGAGCCACCACAGCUUGCACCAGCCAAGGAUCGGCCCUUCCGUGUUUUGGUGGUUAGGAAACCUGUGAGCGAAAUCCCGCUGAGGUUUGAGAGGAGAGGAAAAUGGGUGUUGGAGACCUCUCAACUUUGCAGGAUUUCUUUGGUAUUCAUACAUAUUUGCAAGAAUGUAUUCCAAGCAUCUUGUACUGUUAUUAGUAACUUGUACUGUAGUUUGUUAGAAGUGUUGACUACCUACAUAGCUAAUAUUCUGUUGCAACUUAGAAAAUGUGUAAACAACUGCAGAAAACAGGAGUUUAGAACUUGUAUGUACUGUUUUUUUUAUAUUAAAGCACUUCAAUUAAAAGUUCAAGGAGAAAUGCUUCUGUAGCCUUUGUAUCUUUUUGGAUAACAGAUGAGUGGAAAGAGAUGGGA